UACGAAGGGGGCGAGCGUUGUUCGGAUUUACUGGGCGUAAAGGGCGCGCAGGCGGCCGCAUUUGUCAGGCGUGAAAGCCCCGGGCUUAACCUGGGAACUGCGUUUGAUACGGUGUGGCUAGAGUUCGGGAGAGGAGAGUGGAAUUCCCAGUGUAGAGGUGAAAUUCGUAGAUAUUGGGAAGAACACCGGUGGCGAAGGCGGCUCUCUGGGCCUUACCUGACGCUGAGGCGCGAAAGCUAGGGGAGCGAACAGG
rnacentral:rRNA from 1 species